rnacentral:rRNA from 1 species
AUACGUAGGGGGCAAGCGUUAUCCGGAUUUACUGGGUGUAAAGGGAGCGUAGACGGCAAAGCAAGUCUGAAGUGAAAGCCCCGGGCUCAACCCGGGAAUUGCUUUGGAAACUGUUUAGCUAGAGUGCAGGAGAGGUAAGCGGAAUUCCUAGUGUAGCGGUGAAAUGCGUAGAUAUUAGGAGGAACACCGGCGGCGAAGGCGGCUUACUGGACUGUAACUGACGUUGAGGCUCGAAAGCGUGGGGAGCAAACAGGAUUAGAUACCCUGGUAGUCCACGCUGUAAACGAUGAAUACUAGGUGUGGGGGGACUGACCCCCUCCGUGCCGCAGUUAACACAAUAAGUAUUCCACCUGGGGAGUACGAUCGCAAGAUUGAAACUCAAAGGAAUUGACGGGG